rnacentral:rRNA from 1 species
UGCAAGUCGAACGAUGAAGUCCUUCGGGAUGGAUUAGUGGCGAACGGGUGAGGAACACGUWAAGAAUCUGCCCUCCACUUUGGGAUAACUCCGGGAAACCGGGGCUAAUACCGAAUAUUGAAACAUAAGUGGCAUCACUGAGUUUUGAAAGAAUUUCGGUGGAGGAUGACUUCGCGGCCUAUCAGCUUGUUGGUGAGGUAAUGGCUCACCAAGGCGACGACGGGKAGCCGGCCUGAGAGGGCGACCGGCCACACUGGGACUGAGACACGGCCCARACUCCUACGGGAGGCAGCAGUGGGGAAUAUUGGGCAAUGGACGCAAGUCUGACCCAGCGACGCCGCGKGCGGGAUGAAGGCCUUCGGGUUGUAAACCGCUUUCAGCAGGGAAGAAGCGAAAGUGACGGUACCUGCAAAAGAAGCACCGGCUAACUAUGUGCCAGCAGCCGCGGUAAUACAUAGGGUGCAAGCGUUGUCCGGAAUUAUUGGGCGUAAAGAGCUCGUAGGUGGUUAGUUACGUCGGGUGUGAAAAUCUGGGGCUCAACCCCAGACCUGCACUCGAUACGGGCUAGCUAGAGUUUGGUAGGGGAGACUGGAAUUCCUGGUGUAGCGGUGGAAUGCGCAGAUAUCAGGAGGAACACCAAUGGCGAAGGCAGGUCUCUGGGCCAAUACUGACACUGAGGAGCGAAAGCGCGGGGAGCGAACAGGAUUAGAUACCCUGGUAGUCCA